ACGUAGGAGGCAAACGUUAUCCGGAUUUACUGGGCGUAAAGCGCGUGUAGGUGGUUUGGUAAGUAGAGCGUGAAAGCUCCUGGCUCAACUGGGAGAGGUCGUUCUAAACUGCCGGACUAGAGGAUGGUAGAGGAAGGUGGAAUUCCGGGUGUAGCGGUGGAAUGCGCAGAUAUCCGGAGGAACACCAAUGGCGAAGGCGGCCUCCUGGGCCACUCCUGACGCUCAAACGCGAAAGUGAGGGUAGCAAACAG
rnacentral:rRNA from 1 species